CGUGUCCUGUAGUGGGGGAUAGCCCGGCGAAAGCCGGAUUAAUACCGCAUACGCUCUACGGAGGAAAGGGGGGGAUCUUAGGACCUCCCGCUACAGGGGCGGCCGAUGGCAGAUUAGCUAGUUGGUGGGGUAAAGGCCUACCAAGGCGACGAUCUGUAGCUGGUCUGAGAGGACGACCAGCCACACUGGGACUGAGACACGGCCCAGACUCCUACGGGAGGCAGCAGUGGGGAAUUUUGGACAAUGGGGGCAACCCUGAUCCAGCAAUGCCGCGUGUGUGAAGAAGGCCUUCGGGUUGUAAAGCACUUUUGUCCGGAAAGAAAACGCCGUGGUUAAUACCCGUGGCGGAUGACGGUACCGGAAGAAUAAGCACCGGCUAACUACGUGCCAGCAGCCGCGGUAAUACGUAGGGUGCAAGCGUUAAUCGGAAUUACUGGGCGUAAAGCGUGCGCAGGCGGUCCGCUAAGACAGAUGUGAAAUCCCCGGGCUUAACCUG
rnacentral:rRNA from 1 species